rnacentral:rRNA from 1 species
CAGCCGCGCGGUAAUACGAAGGGUGCAAGCGUUACUCGGAAUUACUGGGCGUAAAGCGUGCGUAGGUGGUGGUUUAAGUCCGUUGUGAAAGCCCUGGGCUCAACCUGGGAAUUGCAGUGGAUACUGGGUCACUAGAGUGUGGUAGAGGAUAGUGGAAUUUCCGGUGUAGCAGUGAAAUGCGUAGAGAUCGGAAGGAACAUCUGUGGCGAAGGCGACUAUCUGGGCCAACACUGACACUGAGGCACGAAAGCGUGGGGAGCAAACAGGAUUAGAUACCCCUGUAGUCCUUGUCUCUUAUACA